rnacentral:rRNA from 1 species
ACGCUUCUUUUCUACCGAGUGCUUGCACUCACUUGAAAAGAGGAGUGGCGGACGGGUGAGUAACACGUGGGUAACCUGCCCAUCAGAGGGGGAUAACACUUGGAAACAGGUGCUAAUACCGCAUAAUAGUCGACACCGCAUGGUGUUGAUUUGAAAGACGCUUUCGGGUGUCACUGAUGGAUGGACCCGCGGUGCAUUAGCUAGUUGGUGAGGUAACGGCUCACCAAGGCGAUGAUGCAUAGCCGACCUGAGAGGGUGAUCGGCCACACUGGGACUGAGACACGGCCCAGACUCCUACGGGAGGCAGCAGUAGGGAAUCUUCGGCAAUGGACGAAAGUCUGACCGAGCAACGCCGCGUGAGUGAAGAAGGUUUUCGGAUCGUAAAACUCUGUUGUUAGAGAAGAAUAAGUAGGAGAGUAACUGCUGGGGGCUUGACGGUAUCUAACCAGAAAGCCACGGCUAACUACGUGCCAGCAGCCGCGGUAAUACGUAGGUGGCAAGCGUUGUCCGGAUUUAUUGGGCGUAAAGCGAGCGCAGGCGGUUUCUUAAGUCUGAUGUGAAAGCCCCCGGCUCAACCGGGGAGGGUCAUUGGAAACUGGG